rnacentral:tmRNA from 1 species
GGGGGUGACAGGAAUCGACAUGUUCUUCUAGCGGAGGGGCAGCAUGCAGAGGUUGUCGGGAGGCCUCUUAAAACACCUGGCACAACGUAAAAUGUCGACUACAAUCCAGUAGCAGACGCCGAAGCGAUCCUUGCUUCGGAUACACUAGCUUCCAAUUUCAUGGAAGCGGGUUUAUUAGAGUGCGCCCUAGUGCGCUAAUAGACUUACCAGAAAUAGGGAUGAUCGGGGAAGGCUCCUUCCGGGCCCCGGUCUAAGCGCGUAGAAGGAUGCUCGAGGGUGCGACCCGCGCGACGGCCGCCCCGAGAAAAGACCAAAGCCGCGAUAAGCAUGUAGAUACUCCUUUGUUAAGGCUCAUGGACCCGGGUUCGAAUCCCGGCACCUCCACCA